UACGGGGGGAGCAAGCGUUGUUCGGAUUUACUGGGCGUAAAGGGCGCGUAGGCGGCCACCGCAAGUCGACUGUGAAAUCUCCGGGCUUAACCCGGAAAGGUCAGCCGAUACUGCGGGGCUAGAGUGCAGAAGGGGCAACUGGAAUUCUCGGUGUAGCGGUGAAAUGCGUAGAUAUCGAGAGGAACACCGGUGGCGAAAGCGGUUCACUGGCCCGAACACUGACACUGAGGUGCGAAAGCUAGGGUAGCAAACGGG
rnacentral:rRNA from 1 species